rnacentral:rRNA from 1 species
CGGCGCGCCGGUCGGCCCCCUUCCAUGCUCGCCGGCGUCGGCCGCCGCUGAUGCCCAGCCCGCCCAAGGACCGCCCCGCCGGCCGCCUCGGCCGCCUCAUCUCCGCGCUCCGCCCCGCGCGCGCCGGCCCGCUCCCCGUCCAGACCGGCUUCCCCACCUCCCUCGCCGACCUCUUCGUCAAGAACCAUGGCCGCCUCAAGAAGCAGCAGGGGCCAUCCUCCACCAGGCGCAAGAGGCGGGGCGCUCCCCCUUUGCCUUCCCCGGAGCCCUCUCCCCCGCCCCCCUCUCCUCCACCGCCGUCGCCCCCGCCGGCCGCCGUCUCCCCGCCGUCGGCCCAGCCAGGGCCCGACCCUCCGCGGGCGGAGCCCGUCUGCCGCCCCGGAGGCCAAGCCGCCGGCCUCGGAUUGGGGUUCCUCGCGCUCGUCGGCGCGGUGUCCCUCGCCCUCCUCGUGAUCUGGAGCAGGAAGGUGGUUGCGGCCGUCACCGUCGCCGCCUUCUCCCUCUUCCUGCUGGAAUCCGUCCGGGCGUCCUCGCUUCGCCGGGGGCCCCGGCCCCCGGCGCCCACCGCGGAGCUGGACAUCGACGGCCGCGGCUACGUCUCGCCGAUCCGGGAGCUGGAGGGGGAGCCGGAGCCGCUGGGGUCGAGCUUCUCCGACUCCGGCAGGGGGAUCAGCGCCUCCAUCCUCGGCAUUGACGAGAGGAGCGAGGCCGGCGAGGAUUCGUGCGUGUGGGAGCCGAAGCCGAGGAAGAGGUCGCCAUGGAGGAAGCUGAUCCCCAGGAAAUUGCAGAGAGGCCGGAAGAUUGGCAAGGACCCGGGCUCCCUGUCAAGUUCUUUCCGGUCAAGCUCUUUCCGCAGCGAGGUCAGCCAGGCGGAUUCCACGGUCGGCGGCAAUGCCGGGGCGACGGAUCCCCCGGACUCUCGCCGCGGCAGACGCAACCAAGCGAAUGCCAAGGCGGACGCCGUGGGCAAGUCGCCGGAUUCAUCGGGCCCUCUCCGCCUUGGCAUGGUUGACGGCAUCAAAUCGCGCGAUUCGUCGGGCCCUCUCCGCCUUGGCAUCAUGGGCGACGGCGUCAAAUCGCGCGACUCAUCGGGCCCUCUCCGCGGCACGGUCGACGGCGCGGACGCCGCCACCAAAUCGCCUGAUUCGUCGGGCCCUCUCCGCGGCAUGGUUGACGGCGAGGCGCGCAACAACGGUGCGCGUGCGCCGAUAGAACUCGCCGGGGCGGACGGCGUAGGAGGCCGGUUCCCCUUGGUAGCUGUAACCGUCGUCGUCCUCGUAGGCUUGGUCGCCGGGAGGGUCCCGGCCGUGGCGCUCACCGUACUUUGGUCCGUGCUGGUUGGCUCGCUGCAGAGAUUGCGGCGGGACGGCGAUGUAGGAACCUCCCAGGGUUGAUGUACAUUAGUGAGUGGUGGUAUAAUCCUUACAUACAUAAUUGUUGUUCUUAAGUUAUUAAAAAGCUUGAGUGCAUUCCAUGAUUUCUGAUGGUGCAGCAUUCAUCCAGUUGUUGCGCCGAUCGAGCUGUCGUUUCAGCCAUUCACGCCGCCAAUGGCCGGCCGGUCCGCGCCAUGGCCGCGAGGUGUUGGGACAGAGAGGACCAACUGGUUCGGUGCAGAUGGCACAUGCCCUGCACCCCCAACACGACGAGCAGAAACUUGGGCGUUUUAGCGAGAAGUAGAGGGAGACACAGCGCAAGCUCCAUCCAUCGAUAUGGCUUUGUCGAUCCGCGCCGAACGAAAC